rnacentral:sRNA from 12 species
AGGCAAGGAUACAAUAUUGUGUUCCGAUAUGCACCGUACUGUGGAGCCUCUGGAGGGGUUGUAUGUGAACCUCAAAUCGGAUAGGUUUUAGCUGAAAGAAAACAUGCAGA